UUUAAAACUUUCAACAACGGAUCUCUUGGUUCCGGCAUCGAUGAAGAACGCAGCGAAAUGCGAUACGUAAUGUGAAUUGCAAAUUCAGUGAAUCAUCGAGUCUUUGAACGCACAUUGCGCCCCCUGGUAUUCCGGGGGGCAUGCCUGUCCGAGCGUCAUU
rnacentral:rRNA from 3 species